rnacentral:rRNA from 1 species
UACGUAGGCAGCGAGCGUUGUUCGGAGUUACUGGGCGUAAAGAGUGCGUAGGCGGUUUUCUAAGUUUGGUGUGAAAUCUCCCGGCUUAACUGGGAGGGUGCGCCGAAGACUGGAAGGCUUGAGUAUGGGAGAGGUAAGCGGAAUUCCUGGUGUAGCGGUGAAUGCGUAGAUAUCAGGAGGAACACCUGCGGUGUAGACGGCUUACUGGACCAUAACUGACGCUGAGGCACGAAAGCGUGGGUAGCAAACAGG